ACGUGGCUGUUUGGGGUGAAAGCCAUGGACCUGCAAUUUGGGGAACUAAGUAACUCGUGCCCAGAUGGCUUCCCGGGGCCCAGACAGUGACUCAGCGGCCCUCUUAGUGCCCAGGCUCACUGGCCAAGGGUCAGGCAGUGCCCAGCCCUGCGGCUCACAGGGUGUGGGGUUGGGCACCAAGAUCUCGAGCCUCGCAGCCCCUGAGAGCCAUCCCUAGAGGCAGCAUGUGGAGGCCCAGCCCCUGAGCAGCUGUGUGACCUCAAAAUACAAGGAUGUGGAGUCCAGUCUGAAGAUCAAGGAGGUGGAUGGCUUGGAGCUGGUGAGGAAGUUCUCGGAGGACAUGGAGACCAUGCUCCGCAGGAAAGUGGAGGCUAUCCAGGGUCACAGCCAAACAGACCCUCCAUGAGGGUGCCAUGGGGAAUCUCCUGCAGAGCAGCACUAAAUAAGCUUUGCCCCAUGGAACUUCUUCAUCUUGCCCUCAGACACGAGGGUUGGGUGCAGGGCAGCAAGGAUUGCUCUGCGGUUCACAGGAGGAUAAACAGAGACCCAGAGGGUCGCAGAUGGUGUAAAA
rnacentral:lncRNA from 1 species